GUGCCAGCCGCCGCGGUAACCCCAGCGCCACAAGUGGGAACCAUGAUUAUUGGGUCUAAAGCAUCCGUAGCCUGUCUGUUAAAUGCCCUGUGAAAUCGUUCUGCCUAACAGGACGGCGUGCAGGGUAGACUGAUAGACUAGGGACCGGGCGAGGUAAGCGGUAUUCCGGGGGGAGCGGUAAAAUGUGAUAAUCCUCGGAGGACCACCGAUGGCGAAGGCAGCUUACCAGAACGGAUCCGACGGUGAGGGAUGAAAGCUAGGGGAGCGACCCGGAUUAGAUACCCGAGUAGUCCUAGCCGUAAACACUGUGUGCCAGAUGUUGCGUAAUCCCCGAGAUUGCGCAGUGUCGAAAUGAAGAUGUUAAGCACACCACCUGGGAAGUACGGUUGCAAGGCUGAAACUUAAAGGAAUUGGCGGGGGAGCACCACAACGGGUGCGGCGUGCGGUUUAAUCGAAUUCAACACCGAGAAUCUCACCAGAGGCGACGGCACAAUGACGCUCAGUCCGAAGGGCUUAGCUGAGGAGCCGAGAGGUGGUGCAUGGCCGCCGUCAGCUCGUGCCGUAAGGUGUCCUGUUAAGUCAGGCAACGAGCGAGACCUGUAUCCAUCGUUGCUAACGCGUUCGCAAGAAUGAGCGAGCACACUAUGGAGACUGCCUUGGAAACAAGGAGGAAGGUGCAGGCUACGGCAGGGCUGU
rnacentral:rRNA from 1 species